rnacentral:rRNA from 1 species
GCAAGUCGAACGGUAGAGGGGGCAACCCCUCGAGAGUGGCGAACGGCUUAGUAAUAUAUCGGAACGUGCCCAGUCGUGGGGGAUAACGUAGCGAAAGUUACGCUAAUACCGCAUACGAUCUACGGAUGAAAGCGGGGGAUCGCAAGACCUCGCGCGAUUGGAGCGGCCGAUAUCAGAUUAGGUAGUUGGUGGGGUAGAGGCUCACCAAGCCAACGAUCUGUAGCUGGUCUGAGAGGACGACCAGCCACACUGGAACUGAGACACGGUCCAGACUCCUACGGGAGGCGGCAGUGGGGAAUUUUGGACAAUGGACGCAAGUCUGAUCCAGCCAUUCCGCGUGCAGGAUGAAGGCCCUCGGGUUGUAAACUGCUUUUGUACGGAACGAAAAGGUCUCUCUUAAUACGGGGGGCUCAUGACGGUACCGUAAGAAUAAGCACCGGCUAACUACGUGCCAGCAGCCGCGGUAAUACGUAGGGUGCAAGCGUUAAUCGGAAUUACUGGGCGUAAAGCGUGCGCAGGCGGUUAUGUAAGACAGAGGUGAAAUCCCCGGGCUCAACCUGGGAACUGCCUUUGUGACUGCAUAGCUAGAGUACGGUAGAGGGGGAUGGAAUUCCGCGUGUAGCAGUGAAAUGCGUAGAUAUGUGGAGGAAUACCAAUGGCGAAGGCAGCCCCCUGGGAUAACACUGACGCUCAUGCACGAAAGCGUGGGGAGCAAACAGGAUUAGAUACCCUGGUAGUC